rnacentral:rRNA from 1 species
UUACUGAGAGGGGGGUUUCGCGCCCCAGGGGCUCUGCCCCGCACCUUUCCACCCUUUGUUCAUCUUCCACUGUUGCUUUGGCGGGCCUUCGGGGUCUUCCCGGCGCUGGCCCCUUUCGUGGGGUUUGCGAGCGCCCGCCAGAGGCCCAUCAAAAAUCGUUUCCACUAGGCGGUCUGAGUUAUAUAAAUACAAACAAAACUUUCAACAACGGAUCUCUUGGUUCUGGCAUCGAUGAAGAACGCAGCGAAAUGCGAUAAGUAAUGUGAAUUGCAGAAUUCAGUGAACCAUCGAAUCUUUGAACGCACAUUGCGCCCUUUGGUAUUCCGAAGGGCAUGCCUGUUCGAGCGUCAUUACACCCCUCAAGCUUUGCUUGGUAUUGGGCGACUCGCCUCCCGAAUUUCUCGGGGAGCGCGCCCGAAAUUUAGUGGCGGUCCGGGUGGACUACAAGCGCAGUAAAUACUUUUCGCUUCUGUAGUUUCCGCCUGCGAUCCGGCCAGCGAAACCUUUCAGCCUCUAAAAAUUGACCUCGGAUCAGGUAGGGAUACCCGCUGAACUUAAGCAUAUCA